rnacentral:rRNA from 1 species
CCUACGGGAGGCAGCAGUGGGGAAUAUUGGACAAUGGGCGAAAGCCUGAUCCAGCCAUGCCGCGUGUGUGAAGAAGGCCUUCGGGUUGUAAAGCACUUUCAGUGGGGAAGAAAGCCUUGGGGCUAAUACCCUCGAGGAAGGACAUCACCCACAGAAGAAGCACCGGCUAACUCCGUGCCAGCAGCCGCGGUAAUACGGAGGGUGCGAGCGUUAAUCGGAAUUACUGGGCGUAAAGCGCGCGUAGGCGGUCUGAUAAGCCGGUUGUGAAAGCCCCGGGCUCAACCUGGGAACGGCAUCCGGAACUGUCGAGCUAGAGUGCAGGAGAGGAAGGUAGAAUUCCCGGUGUAGCGGUGAAAUGCGUAGAGAUCGGGAGGAAUACCAGUGGCGAAGGCGGCCUUCUGGACUGACACUGACGCUGAGGUGCGAAAGCGUGGGUAGCAAACAGGAUUAGAUACCCGAGUAGUC